GUGGGAAGUUUAGGCAAAUCCGGGCUUCCUUAACACAGAGAGAUGAUGACGAGGCUCUACGGAGCUGAAGUAACUGAUACCACACUUCCAGGAAAAGCCACUAAGCGAAAGGCUUUACUAAACCGUACUGAAAACCGACACAGGUGGUCAGGUAGAGAAUACUCAGGCGCUUGAGAGAACUCGGGUGAAGGAACUAGGCAAAAUAGCACCGUAACUUCGGGAGAAGGUGCGCCGGCGUAGAUUGUAAGGGCUAGCCCCUGAAGGUUGAACCGGUCGAAGAUACCAGCUGGCUGCAACUGUUUAUUAAAAACACAGCACUCUGCAAACACGAAAGUGGACGUAUAGGGUGUGAUGCCUGCCCGGUGCUGGAAGGUUAAUUGAUGGUGUAAUCGCAAGAGAAGCACCUGAUCGAAGCCCCAGUAAACGGCGGCCGUAACUAUAACGGUCCUAAGGUAGCGAAAUUCCUUGUCGGGUAAGUUCCGACCUGCACGAAUGGCAUAAUGAUGGCCAGGCUGUCUCCACCCGAGACUCAGUGAAAUUGAAAUCGCCGUGAAGAUGCGGUGUACCCGCGGCUAGACGGAAAGACCCCGUGAACCUUUACUAUAGCUUGACACUGAACAUUGAAUUUUGAUGUGUAGGAUAGGUGGGAG
rnacentral:rRNA from 1 species